rnacentral:rRNA from 1 species
GUACCUUUUGUAUAAUGGGUCAGCGACUUAUAUUCUGUAGCAAGGUUAACCGUAUAGGGGAGCCGCAGGGAAACCGAGUCUUAACUGGGCGUUAAGUUGCAGGGUAUAGACCCGAAACCCGGUGAUCUAGCCAUGGGCAGGUUGAAGGUUGGGUAACACUAACUGGAGGACCGAACCGACUAAUGUUGAAAAAUUAGCGGAUGACUUGUGGCUGGGGGUGAAAGGCCAAUCAAACCGGGAGAUAGCUGGUUCUCCCCGAAAGCUAUUUAGGUAGCGCCUCGUGAAUUCAUCUUCGGGGGUAGAGCACUGUUUCGGCUAGGGGGUCAUCCCGACUUACCAACCCGAUGCAAACUACGAAUACCGAAGAAUGUUAUCACGGGAGACACACGGCGGGUGCUAACGUCCGUCGUGAAGAGGGAAACAACCCAGACCGCCAGCUAAGGUCCCAAAGUCAUGGUUAAGUGGGAAACGAUGUGGGAAGGCACAGACAGCCAGGAUGUUGGCUUAGAAGCAGCCAUCAUUUAAAGAAAGCGUAAUAGCUCACUGGUCGAGUCGGCCUGCGCGGAAGAUGUAACGGGGCUAAACCAUGCACCGAAGCUGCGGCAGCGACACUAUGUGUUGUUGGGUAGGGGAGCG